AGACGUCUACAUUAGAUACCCGCGUAGUCCCAGCCGUAAACUAUGCGCGUUAGGUGUAUCGGUGACCACGAGUUACCGAGGUGCCGAAGGGAAACCGUGAAACGUGCCGCCUGGGAAGUACGGUCGCAAGGCUGAAACUUAAAGGAAUCGGCGGGGAGCACCACAACAGGUGGAGCCUGCGGUUUAAUUGGACUCAACGCCGGGAAGCUCACCGGAUAGGACAGCAGAAUGAUUGCCGGGCUGAAGACCCUGCAUGACUAGCUG
rnacentral:rRNA from 1 species